UACGUAGGGCGCAAGCGUUGUCCGGAAUUACUGGGCGUAAAGCGCGUGUAGGCUGCUCAGAAAGUCAGAUGUGAAAGCCCUGGGCUUAACCUAGGAAGUGCAUUCGAAACUUCUGAGCUUGAGUUCUGGAGAGGAAGGCGGAAUUCUCGGUGUAGAGGUGAAAUUCGUAGAUAUCGAGAGGAACACCGGUGGCGAAGGCGGCCUUCUGGACAGUGACUGACGCUGAGACGCGAAAGCGUGGGGAGCGAACAGG
rnacentral:rRNA from 1 species